UCUAAUAUGGCAGAUUAGUGCAAUGAAUUUAAGAUUCAUAUAUAAAGAAAUUAUUCUUUUAUUAGAA
rnacentral:tRNA from 1 species